UUGGAGAAUAAUUACAUUUUUGUGUUGGUUUCUGCUGUACAACAUUGUGAAUCGGCUGUCUAGGCACAGAGACCUCGUCUUUUCCUGCUGGAAUAGUCUGCCAAUUGCCAGAUGGCGUGGGAUGUCUAUCCUCAACCUCUGAAGGGGCCGAGAACACCUAAGGAGCUGCUAAAAUGCAGGUUCCCAGCUCUAGUGAGCCUGAAAGUCCUUGGAAUCUGCAUGUUUUAACAGGGACUAAAUACACAUUCGAAUGACCAACUUCCAAGAAGCGAAGUAAACAAAGCCCAGCUCUGCUAUUUCCAGCCAGAGUCACCUGGGGUGUGUCAUUGACUUUUCUGAGCCCUAGUUUCUCUAAGAGUAAAACAACACCAACUGUAUAACGUUGGCUAUAUAAUGUACUUAAAACAAUGCUUCAGAUUUCCCUGGUGGUUCAGUGGCUAAGAUUUCAUAUUCCCAAUUCAGGGACCCUGGGUUUCAUCCCUAAUCACUGAACUAGAAAAGACUCUUGAGAGUCUCUUGGACAGCAAGGAGAUCAGACCAGUCCAUCCUAAAGGAAAUCAACCCUGAAUAUUCAUUGGAAGGACAGACAGCUGAAGCUGAAACUCCAAUACUUUGGCCACCUAAUGGGAAGAACUAAUUCAUUGAAAAAUACCCUGAUGCUGGGAAAGAUUGAAGGUUGGAGGAGAAGGGGAUGACAGAGGAUGAUAUGGUUGGAUGGCAUCACCGAUUCGAUGGACAAUGAGUUUGAGCAAACUCGGAGAUAGUGAAGGACAGGAAAGCCUGGCAUGCUGCAGCCCAUGGGGUUGUAAAGAGUCAGACAUGAUUCAGUGACUGAACAAGAGGGAACUAGACCCCACGUGACCCAACUAAGAGUUGGCACACCACAACUGAAAGAUCCCAUGUGCUUCAACUAAGACCCCAAGCAACCAAAUAAGUGAAUAAAUAUUUUAAAAAUAAAUAAAAAUAAACCUGCCCGGCACACAGUAG
ensembl:lncRNA